GUUCAGGUCAGUUGGGCUUUGCUGGGUGUGGAGUGGCAUAGCUAGCUGUUGGAGGUGAUGAACUGUCUGAGCCU
rnacentral:precursor_RNA from 1 species